rnacentral:rRNA from 1 species
CUGGCUCAGGAUGAACGCUGGCGGCGUGCUUAACACAUGCAAGUCGAGCGAGAAAUGAGAGAUUGAAUCUUCGGAUGAAAGAUCUCAUGGACAGCGGCGGACGGGUGAGUAACGCGUGGGCAACCUGCCCUUAACUGAGGGAUAGCCGAGGGAAACUUCGUGUAAUACCUCAUAACGCAUUUUGACCGCAUGAUCGAAAUGCCAAAGAUUUAUCGGUUAAGGAUGGGCCCGCGUUCGAUUAGCUUGUUGGUGAGGUAGCGGCUCACCAAGGCGACGAUCGGUAGCCGGCCUGAGAGGGUGAACGGCCACAUUGGAACUGAGACACGGUCCAGACUCCUACGGGAGGCAGCAGUGGGGAAUAUUGCACAAUGGGCGAAAGCCCUGAUGCAGCAACGCCGCGUGAAGGAAGAAGGUCUUCGGAUCGUAAACUUCUGUCCUUAGGGAAGAACAAUGACGGUACCUUUGGAGGAAGCCCCGGCUAACUACGUGCCAGCCGCGGC